UUGUAGCCCUGAUAGAAAUGAAAAGCUUUUUGUGAUCUCCUUAUAUUUUCUUGUAAAAUAAGAGCGACCUUAGAAGCUCCUUAUUUUACUUAGAAAAAAAUAAAGGAGAGUGCAAAAACUUGAAAUGGAUAGCAGGAAUAGCU
rnacentral:sRNA from 1 species